GCCUUUGUGGUGUAAUGGUCAGCACACUCGGCGCAAACUCGAGAGAUCCGAGGUUCGAGUCUCGGCGAAGGCA
rnacentral:tRNA from 1 species